CAACAAAGAGGAGUUCGACAUGGC
rnacentral:siRNA from 1 species